rnacentral:rRNA from 1 species
GACGGUUUCGCAUUCUUUUUAGAUUUAUGGGCCCAAAGCUCACGCACGCGCGUUUGUUAAACCAGAUGUGAAAUCUCCGGGCUCAACCGGCGAACUGCAUCUGAUACUGGCAAGCUUGAGUCUCGCAGAGGGGGGUUGAAUUUCCGGUGUACCGGUGAAAUGCUUAGAGAUCUGGAGGAAUACCGUUGAAUGAAGGGGUCCUGGAAACGAAACUGACCCUCGGAGAGAAGGGUGUUACCACCAGGAAUCAUCUCCUGCUAAUCCCAAACCUAUUAAUUUCUAUAUUGCAACCUCCCUGACUACCCACUUACCUGGCGCACUCCCAAUUGCACCGCCGGUGGAUUCUGGUCAUUGUAAAGCUCCACGGAGUUCACUCGGCCAGCGCGGCCAUGCCCCUAUAUCUGAUUGUCUUCCCCGAACAGCCCUUUUGAUCCACCCCAUUCAUUCGGAAUUAAUUAGGGCCGGCCUGAACAUUGGAAUUUCAUGCAGGAUCCUGUUUUUCGGUUGAGAGCUCCAUUCAU